GACNUUACUCGUCUCGCGAAUGCAUCAAGAUGAUNUAAUGAUCCUGGCUCAGAGUGACCGCUGGCGUAAGUGCCUAACACAUGCAAGUCGAACGGCAGCACAGGAGAGCUUGCUCUCUGGGUGGCGAGUGGCGGACGUGGUGAGGAAUACAUCGGAAUCUACUCUGUCGUGGGUGGAUAACGUAGGUGAAACUUACGCUAAUACCGCAUACGACCUACGGGUGAAAGCAGGGGAUCUUCGGACCUUGCGCGAUUGAAUGAGCCGAUGUCGGAUUAGCUAGUUGGCGGGGUAAAGGCCCACCAAGGCGACGAUCCGUAGCUGGUCUGAGAGGAUGAUCAGCCACACUGGAACUGAGACACGGUCCAGACUCCUACGGGAGGCAGCAGUGGGGAAUAUUGGACAAUGGGCGCAAGCCUGAUCCAGCCAUACCGCGUGGGUGAAGAAGGCCUUCGGGUUGUAAAGCCCUUUUGUUGGGAAAGAAAUCCAGCCGGCUAAUACCUGGUUGGGAUGACGGUACCCAAAGAAUAAGCACCGGCUAACUUCGUGCCAGCAGCCGCGGUAAUUACGAAAGGGGGUUGCAAAGCCGUUACUCGGAAUUACUUGGGGCGUAAAAAGCGUUGCGUACGGGUNGGGNUAAUUUUAACAGUCCCGGUNUGGUUNAAANCCCNUNGGGCUCAACCCCUNGGGAAACUGCACGUGGGAUAACUUGGAUUGACUANAAUUNUGGUUAAGGGNNAGCCGGGANUUCCUGUUNNUUACCUGAAA
rnacentral:rRNA from 1 species